CUUCCUCAUUGUUGCAUGAAGAUGAUGGAAGAGGGAGAAAUAGCGCUUGGCAAUCAAAUAUUCCCAUGUCGUUGGUUUGCUGGCGUGCUUCUUUGAACCUUCUUGAUUCACAUGCAUUCCUCUCCCAAUAGGAGCUGUCACUUUGUGUGGACAUUGUCCCUUCAGUGUGUGUGGCUAUAGGGAGCGUCUGAUGUCCACUCCGGGCCACUUGUCUAUGAUGUGAAUGGGAAGACAAUGAGACCCCCAGUGGCUCCCUCUCUCCAUGACUCGCCUGGGGUCUGAUUUGCCUUGGCAAGGGGGACAGAGGCCCAAAACAAAGCUGAAGGAGUCUCCAGUGAAGAGGUGCAAAGGUCAGCCCCAACGCCCAACUAACAGGCCCGUCCUCUAGUUUUGGUUCCUAAAUGGGGAAGGGACACAGAGGCGUAGAGACAAUGGGAUAAAAGGGACCUCCAAAACCAUUAAAUUCUGAGGAAGUGAUGGCCGUGAAUGAUGACAGAGACUGAAUAGAGACUCUUGAGGUGGGAGGUCUCUCUUCUCCAAACGAGGAGACACUUCCAGAUUGAUGCAGGAAUCCUGGUCGGGCCUGUAUAGACCCCCGCUGUGAACCUCAGGGACAACGUGACAACGCCCGGGCCCCUUUAGAGACACAUGGUUAACCAGGAAGGAAGUCUGGCCAGAUGAUGAUACUUCAGAGCCGAGCCAUCCUCCUCAUGGAAACCUCCUCUGCUUGAGCUCACAGAAAGCUAAAAAGCUGCAUGUGGCUGCCGU